rnacentral:rRNA from 1 species
GAUGAACGCUGGCGGCGUGCCUAAUACAUGCAAGUCGAGCGAACAGAUAAGGAGCUUGCUCCUUUGACGUUAGCGGCGGACGGGUGAGUAACACGUGGAUAACCUACCUAUAAGACUGGGAUAACUUCGGGAAACCGGAGCUAAUACCGGAUAACAUAUUGAACCGCAUGGUUCAAUAGUGAAAGGCGGCUUUGCUGUCACUUAUAGAUGGAUCCGCGCCGUAUUAGCUAGUUGGUAAGGUAACGGCUUACCAAGGCAACGAUACGUAGCCGACCUGAGAGGGUGAUCGGCCACACGGGAACGGAGACACGGUCCAGACUCCUACGGGAGGCAGCAGAAGGGAAUGUUCCGCAAUGGGCGAAAGCCUGACGGAGCAACGCCGCGGGAGUGAUGAAGGUCUUCGGAUCGUAAAACUCUGUUAUCAGGGAAGAACAAAUGUGUAAGUAACUGUGCACAUCUUGACGGUACCUGAUCAGAAAGCCACGGCUAACUACGUG